UAAUCACCUGCCUCUCUUUCUCUCUAAGAGGCUCCUUAUGGUUUUAGCUGCUCCCCAAACCCUGGAGUGGAACCCGCGCAGUCGUUUCCCACUCGCUAUCAAUUCGAACUAUUGCCCUUCAAACGCUUGUUGACGUGAUGGUGCGACAGCGCGGGGACGCUGCCGUCUCGGCGCGAUGCAGACGGGCUUGUGCGGAGACGGUCUGUGCGGCAUGUGGGGAAGGCAAUCACAGCAACAAGCGUGUACACAAACCCAAACCGUUAGGAACAAUGACACAUUCAGAUGGAGGCACAGACAGUGUUUUUUAGGGCCAGGGGGCUAAAAGCGUCUGACAGGAGAAAUCAAAGACCCACAAGUUCACAUUGCUUGUCUGUCUCACUCAGGAUUCUCCUGGGAGAAGCUCGCUGCCGAGUGUCAGAACCCAGUUGGAGGGAAGAAAAGUCAUUCUUCCAACGCGAGUGGGCGGCUCACCUGAAGGCCGCCACCUGCCCCGGGAGGGUGGGCCACAGCAACGCCGGCGCCGCGGAGCCUCUUGACAACGCUGCAUCCUGAGGGGACGUGUGGGAUUGGCACGUGCACGGAGGCGCGGAGCGACGGCACGCGAAGGGGUGAGGCUUUGAGUUGGAGUCUGGUGCUGCACACGUCCAUGCGCUCGCCCACAGCCUCUGGUUCAGGCGCGAUGGGUUCCUUCAGGCUUCAGCCUCAGCAGCUCUGAUCGAACACGGCCUCAUUUGGGCGCAGCCGUUUAAAUUGCAGAAGGUACAUUGUGUUAAAUUAUAGAUGAGGCGGAUAAUUACUGCUUUGCCACGUGAAAUGUCAUGGAACGGGAUCUGCUGUUAGACGGCGUUAACGUUAAAGCGGUGGGUCAAAGGUCAACGCACACCUGACGUCUGUUGUGCAGUUUUGACUUUUAGAAAAAAUAAAAGGGAAGAGUAUUUAUUAUUUGGAUUUUUA
rnacentral:lncRNA from 1 species